CCUACGGUAGGCAGCAGUGGGGAAUAUUGGGCAAUGGGCGCAAGCCUGACCCAGCAACGCCGCGUGAAGGAAGAAGGCUUUCGGGUUGUAAACUUCUUUUCUCAGGGACGAAGAAAGUGACGGUACCUGAGGAAUAAGCCACGGCUACCUACGUGCAAGCAGCCGCGGUAAUACGUAGGUGGCACGCGUUAGCCGGAUUGAUUGGGUGUAAAGGGCGUGUAGGCGGGAGCGCAAGUCAGAUGUGAAAACUCAGGGCUCAACCCUGAGCCUGCAUUUGAAACCGUGUAUCUUGAGUGCUGAGGAGGCGAUCGGAAUUACGUGUGUAGCGGGGAAAUGCGUAGAUAUACGGAGGAACACCAGUGGCGAAGGCGGAUUGCUGGACAGUAACUGACGCUGAGGCGCGAAAGCGUGGGGAGCGAACAGGAUUAGAUACCCUUGUAGUC
rnacentral:rRNA from 1 species